rnacentral:rRNA from 1 species
GUCUACGGCCAUACCACCCUGAAUGUACCCGAUCUUGUCUGAUCUCGGAAGCUAAGCAGGGUCGGGCCUGGUUAGUACUUGGAUGGGAGAAAUAAAAUCAAGAAGUUAGGUACAGUGCU